CAGUAGCCGCGGUAAUGCGUAGGUGGCAAGCGUUGUCCGGAAUUAUUGGGCGUAAAGCGCGCGCAGGCGGAUCGGUCAGUCUGUCUUAAAAGUUCGGGGCUUAACCCCGUGAUGGGAUGGAAACUGCCAAUCUAGAGUAUCGGAGAGGAAAGUGGAAUUCCUAGCGUAGCGGUGAAAUGCGUAGAUAUUAGGAAGAACACCAGUGGCGAAGGCGACUUUCUGGACGAAAACUGACGCUGAGGCGCGAAAGCCAGGGGAGCGAACGGGAUUAGAUACCCCGGUAGUCCCUGUCUCUUAUACC
rnacentral:rRNA from 1 species